ACCGAUACCGUGACUAUCCCGUCAUCCUCAGCGGGGAGCAAUAGAGUGGGCCCUAGAGCGGCGGGAGCAGGCCGAGGCCGAUGAUGUCGGAGAAGAAACAGCCCGUUGAUUUGGGGCUUCUGGAGGAGGAUGACGAGUUCGAGGAGUUCCCAGCCGAAGACUGGGCUGGUUUAGAUGAAGAUGAAGAUGCACAUGUGUGGGAGGACAACUGGGAUGAUGACAAUGUGGAAGAUGAUUUCUCCAAUCAGUUAAGGGCGGAAUUAGAAAAACACGGCUACAAGAUGGAAACCUCAUAGCUUCCAGUGAUGCUGUGAUCUGAGAUUGGACUGUAAAUUUGAACGUAGAGGUGCAAGAUGGAUAAAUUGAACGCAGAGGUCAAGAUGGAAGAGAAGAUACUAGACUGUCCAUUAUUACCCUAAAUUUUGUUUUUGUUUUGUAUAAAUAAAAAAAAUGGAAUCUAAGUGUUGUAUUGUUCCAGUACUGUUCAGGUUCCUCUCUGAAUUACUGGUAGGUUCCAUGACAAUAUUGCUAGCUAUUCUAAGCAUGGAUUGAUUAUAAUCUUGCCUUCUUUAAUGCUAGUGACUAUAACUGAAGCCAACUGGACAGCUGUGAAUUUUUAAAAAAUUACCUUUUGUGGCAUUUCAUCAGUUUGUAUUGGGACUAGGAAAAAUGCAAUGAAAACAUCUUAAACUGAAGUACGACAGUCAGUUUCCUUUGCUUAAGCAAGUGAAAAGUACAAGUUUAAUACUUAUGAAUAAGAAGCAAGUCUUGUGCUAGAGGCAACCCACAGGAGGUGGGUUGGAAGUGGAAAGUUCCUAGUCCAAUCUGCAUGCUACUGAAGGUAAGCUUACCUUCCAUGCCCAGAGGUUUGCUUGUUCUAAAAUUGGCAGCAUUGUGACUAUCGAGUCCACAUUGCCAAACUUUCCAGCAUUGAAACAAAAGUAUUCAUCAUACCUGAUUUAACCUUGGAGUGAAGUGCAAUAAAACACAAUGUUAAUGUUGAAA